rnacentral:rRNA from 1 species
UACGUAGGGUGCAAGCGUUAAUCGGAAUUACUGGGCGUAAAGCGUGCGCAGGCGGUUGUGCAAGACAGAUGUGAAAUCCCCGGGCUCAACCUGGGAACUGCGUUUGUGACUGCACGGCUGGAGUGCGGCAGAGGGGGAUGGAAUUCCGCGUGUAGCAGUGAAAUGCGUAGAUAUGCGGAGGAACACCGAUGGCGAAGGCAAUCCCCUGGGCCUGCACUGACGCUCAUGCACGAAAGCGUGGGGAGCAAACAGG